UACGGAGGGGGCUAGCGUUGUUCGGAAUUACUGGGCGUAAAGCGCACGUAGGCGGCUUUUUAAGUCAGAGGUGAAAGCCCGGAGCUCAACUCCGGAAUUGCCUUUGAGACUGGAUAGCUUGAAUCACGGAGAGGUGGGUGGAAUUCCGAGUGUAGAGGUGAAAUUCGUAGAUAUUCGGAAGAACACCAGUGGCGAAGGCGGCCCACUGGACGUGUAUUGACGCUGAGGUGCGAAAGCGUGGGGAGCAAACAGG
rnacentral:rRNA from 1 species